AUGAGCAGCGUGUUUUGCAUCAGAGAGCCCCACCUGCAGAGUCCCUUGCUGGCAGUGGAUUUGGACAGCCGCUCUCAGUCUCUGGCUACAGCAGCCUGGCUGCCUGUUGUGGUACCUGCAGGAGCUGGAUGGUGGAGCCAGAUGAUGGAGCCAGGAUUGGGCAACAACAUACAUUCGAGGCAUCCACCUUUCCUGGUGAGUUCAUCUUGGUUUUGUAUCUGCUGUUCUUUUAUUUCUUCUCCUUAUUCAUAUUUUGACCAUGUUUUAUACCUACCAUCAAAAAAUAGAUGUUCCCAUUGUGGCUCAGUGUGUUACGGACUCAAUUAGUAUCCAUGAGGAUGUGGGUUCAAUCCCUGACCUCGAUCAGUGGGUUAAGGAUCUGGCAUUGCUGUGGUGUAGGCCGGCAGUUGCAGCUCAGAUUCAACCCCUAGCCUGAGAACUUCCAUAUGCCACAAGUGUGGCCCUAAAAAACAGCAAAAAAACAAAAAAACAAAACAAAAAAAGGAUUGUCUCCCAAACAUUAGUUCUUGUGAUUCCUUAGCUCUCAGGGAUGUAGACAUGUCUGCAUUUGAUGGGGUUUUCUUUACCUUCCCUCCAAGUUCAGUACAUGCUUUGUAGUCUUAAUGAAUCACCUUUCGCCGUCUAUGGAGGUUAUUUCCCCCCUAAUUUAAAGAAAGGAUCUGCCAGUGGAACAACCUAAAUGAACUGAAAUGCCCCUGCCGAGUGCGCUUGCCCGGAGGACAGGCUCGUCGUUGAUAGACUUUAAUCAGAUCCCUCUUCUCCGUUCCCAGGAAAUCCUCCUUCAGUGAACUUCUCCUAACCCUGUCUCUGGGGUGUCACCCGGCCGUAAGGCCAGCGGGGGAGUCGUUUUUGGAAGGCCGCAUGGGGAACAGCUUUGGUGAAGUGUCUUUUCCUCUCCAAGAAAGAUCACAGGAAAACCUUUUGCUCAGAAUAAGCAUUUUGGAAGGGUGCUUGGCAGGCUUUGGCCCUUCAGUGGGGGCAGCACCCUCCCGGGGAGCUGGGGUGUCAGCAGCAGCGGGAGCAGCCACCUCAGCCUUGGGGGGCCCAAGCCACUCCUUCUAGCCCCCUCCCCCGUUAAGGAAUGUCCACCUUCCCUUGGGCCCAGGUGUGGGUUUGUCUUUUUCAGGUGUGGAUCUAGCAUUGGGGAGGCUUCCUACAUCCACCCUUGAUCCCCCAUCUCCCCGCUUCCAGGUAUUGCUACUGCUGAGCAGGGCAGUCCCCAGCCUUGGCAUCGCUGCAGCACCUCUGACCUGUUUCUAGGUCCAGCUGCACUUCUCAUGGUCCCCAGCUGCCUUGCCUUUCCCCG
rnacentral:lncRNA from 1 species